AAUUCGAUUAGAGUUUGAUCAUGGCUCAGAACGUACGCUGGCGGCACGCCUUAUACAUGCAAGUCGAACGAAGUAGCAAUACUUAGUGGCAGACGGGUGAGUAACAUGUGGGUAUCUUCCCUUUGGUGAGGAAUAACACGAGGAAACUUGUGCUAAUACCUCAUAAGUCUUUACGGAGAAAGCUUUAUGCGCCAAUGGAUGGGCCCGCACUUGAUUAGUUUGUUGGUAGGGUAAUGGCCUACCAAGACUGUGAUCAAUAGCUGAUCUGAGAGGAUGAUCAGCCACAUUGGGACUGAGACACGGCCCAAACUCCUACGGGAGGCAGCAGUAGGGAAUAUUGCACAAUGGAGGAAACUCUGAUGCAGCGAUGCCGCGUGAGUGAAGAAGGCCUUUGGGUUGUAAAGCUCUUUCGUCGGGGAAGAAAAUGACUGUACCCGAAUAAGAAGGUCCGGCUAACUUCGUGCCAGCAGCCGCGGUAAUACGAAGGGACCUAGCGUAGUUCGGAAUUACUGGGCUUAAAGAGUUCGUAGGUGGUUGAAAAAGUUGGUGGUGAAAUCCCAGAGCUUAACUCUGGAACUGCCAUCAAAACUUUUCAGCUAGAGUUUGAUAGAGGAAAGCAGAAUUUCUAGUGUAGAGGUGAAAUUCGUAGAUAUUAGAAAGAAUACCAAUUGCGAAGGCAGCUUUCUGGAUCAUUACUGACACUGAGGAACGAAAGCAUGGGUAGCGAAGAGGAUUAGAUACCCUCGUAGUCCAUGCCGUAAACGAUGUGUGUUAGACGUUGGAAAUUUAUUUUCAGUGUCGCAGCGAAAGCAAUAAACACACCGCCUGGGGAGUACGACCGCAAGGUUAAAACUCAAAUGAAUUGACGGGGACCCGCACAAGUAGUGGAGCAUGUGGUUUAAUUCGAAGAUACGCGCAGAACCUUACCAACACUUGACAUGUUCGUCGCGACUUUAAGAGAUUAAAGUUUUCGGUUCGGCCGGACGAAACACAGGUGCUGCAUGGCUGUCGUCAGCUCGUGUCGUGAGAUGUUGGGUUAAGUCCCGCAACGAGCGCAACCCUCACUUUUAGUUGCCAUCAUUUAGUUGGGCACUCUGAAAGAACUGCCAGUGAUAAGCUGGAGGAAGGUGGGGAUGACGUCAAGUCCUCAUGGCCCUUACGUGUUGGGCUACACACGUGCUACAAUGGUAUCUACAACAGGAAGCAAAACGGCGACGUUAAGCAAAUCCUUAAAAGAUACCUCAGUUCGGAUUGCACUCUGCAACUCGAGUGCAUGAAGCUGGAAUUACUAGUAAUCGUGGAUCAGCGUGCCACGGUGAAUGCGUUCCCGGGUCUUGUAGA
rnacentral:rRNA from 1 species